CUUCUUCUUUCUCCUCUUCACUUCUCAAAUUGUAUUACUUCACGCCAUCGACCGGCCACCGCCGGCCCGAUUUUCCGGUCCGUCGUCGGCGAGAAAACAUCAAGUUUUUCAACCUCAGGCAAGUGCUCCGUUUGCUCGAGACUUAGAGUCCGAUAAGAGGAGAGUGCCCACUGGACCAAAUCCUCUGCACAACAAGAAAAGAAAGGCUUGAAAUUACUAUUACUACUACUACUGGUUUAUCCGUUAGAGGUACAGUAAAUUAGUUUUCAUUCGUUAGUUUGUCUUUUAUUGUAGAGUUUUUCCUGUAUAAUUGGUGAUUCAACAUUUUAAUUCACCAAUUUCAAUUUUGUACAAAGCAUAGAAAGCUUAUUUAUACACAUGUAACUUGUUCUAGUUCCAUCACUUUUUUAGUUUUUAGCUUAUACUGAGCUGUGUGAUUAUGCUUAUGUAGAUUUUGCGAGACGGAGGAAUAAGUGAUGUUUGUUUGCAUUAAUAAAUUUAGUAUUGCA
rnacentral:lncRNA from 1 species